rnacentral:rRNA from 1 species
UACGGAAGGCAGCAGUGGGGAAUAUUGCACAAUGGGCGAAAGCCUGAUGCAGCUAUGCCGCGUGUAUGAAGAAGGCCUUAGGGUUGUAAAGUACUUUCAUCGGGGAGGAAAAAACAAAACUAAUAAUUUUAUUUCUUGACGUUACCCGAAAAAGAAGCACCGGCUAACUCCGUGCCAGCAGCCGCGGUAAUACGGAGGGUGCUAGCGUUAAUCAGAAUUACUGGGCGUAAAGAGCACGUAGGUGGUUUUUUUAAAGUCAGAUGUGAAAUCCCUGGGCUUAACCUGGAACUGCAUUUUGAAACUGAAAUACUAGAGUAUCGUAGAGGGAGGUAGAAUUCUAGGUGUAGCGGUGAAAUGCGUAGAUAUCUGGAGGAAUACCUGUGGCGAAAGCGGCCUCCUAAACGAAUACUGACACUGAGGUGCGAAAGCGUGGGGAGCAAACAGGGACUUAGAUACCCGU